rnacentral:SRP_RNA from 1 species
GCUGGGCGCAGUGGCACAUGCCUGUAGUCCCAGCUACUCUGGAGGCUGGGGUGGGAGGAUUGCUUGAGCCCAGGAAUUCUGAGCUGUGGUGCGCUAUGCCAAUCCUGUGUCCUCACUAAGUCCGGCAUCAAUAUGGUGACCUCCCGGGAGCGGGGUAACACCACCAGGUUGCCUAAGGAGCGGUGAACUGGCCCAGGUCAGAACAGAGCAGGUCAAAACUCCCUUGCUAAUCAGUAGUGGGAUCGCGCCUGUGAAUAGCCACUGCACUCCAGCCUGGGCAACAUAGUGAUACCCUGUCUCU